UAAUUUCAUAAAUGAAAUUAAUCCCAAUCAAUUCUCUUUGCCCACCUCUCCACUCAUAGUAAUUGCCAUAAAUAGAAUUUAGGGCUCCCAUAGAGUGUUAUUGACCAUUUUCCACUACCUUGAUCCCAAUGGUCCCACACCAUAACAAGACAAUCAAAACACAUAAAAGAAAGACUUCAUUUUGAAACUUAAAUAUAAUAAAAUAGAUAUAAUAUCUAACAAUAUCGGACUAUUUUUUCUAAUAAUAUUUUGCAGAAUUGUUCUACUAAAAUAGAAGAGCAUUUCAGAAGAGUUUAGUGUUGUUCUUAUUCUUCUGUCUCAAUCUAUAUAAUGUUCUCUCUCUUAAUCACUCAAAAUAUCUGUUUCUGGUAAUCCUGUGUUUACACAAGUCUCCAGCCGGUAUUGGAAUUGCAUUAAGUGUUCACAUGACCACGUCAAACGUAGAAAUACAGAAAAUAUUUGAUUCUCAAAAUUUGAACUAAGAAGAAGUUCUUAUUUUAUUGCAAAGUGUAUAACACAUUUGUAAUUAUAACACUAGAUGAUGCGUCCUAUGAAAGUUAAAAAUUCAAAUGCACGUCCACAAGUUUAGUUAAUUUUCUUCACUGCAAAUUUUUUCUAGUUAGAUGAUUAAAGGUAAGUGUUGGCGCCCAAAUUUCAAAAUACACCCUAGUGACGUGGUAGGGGUGGUUUUGGAUAUUUGGAAGAAAACUUGGGUUAAUCGUAUCGACUUGUCAACCACGUAAAAGUUGAUACCGUUUCGCCAGAGCGGUUAAGAUAUGCCUGCAUAAGGCAAAGUUAGUGAGACAGGUGGCGACCGUACAUUGAAAGAACCACUUCAUGGGCAAAGUGGACAAAUAAUGUGGGCAAUGGAACAGUUAAUGGAUCCAAGGUAUAUAAGGAGAAAAAGCUGCCUAAUACAAGAGGACAAUCAACACAUUCAAACAAAACCAACAAUGCAACUCUUUAUUUCAAUUUCGUAUUUUUCAUUCCUGUAUUUAGAAUUAGAGAUUGAGUAGAACUUGUUUGUUCACUUCUUCAUGAAUUUUCAAUUCACAAAGUCUAUACGUUAGGCUUUAGUGUUUUGUAUUUUAAAAACUCCUUUUGAGAGGAUUAAUGUGAUUUAUUCUCUCGUCCUUCGAAGGUUUUGAUUCAUAAAAAGUUCCUAGAGCUAUCGGCGCAAGAGUAGGACCCAGAUCGCUCGGUCGAAGUCAGAUUUGAUUUUAAAUCCGAUCAGGAAGAAUUCUGACACACCCGCGCACACACCAAUACGGUCAACUGACCGUAGUUAAGGGAGGAAUUUUUGUGCCAACAGUAAGUUAGUCUAGCUUUUGAGCAAUCAUUGCAAGUUGCAACACUGUACUAACAGAAAAUGAAGGCCAAAGACAGAAAAUUUUCACUGGUCAUACAAUGCAAUAGAUGGAAAUGGCAUGAUGAAAGGAUCAGAAUGAACAUAAAAUAGCUCAAAAGAGGGACUGAAAUUGUUUACUUGGUCCUAGUUAACAAUGGCAGCACAAAGAAACCAUCCUCAGAAAGACAGUUUAGCAUCUUUAAAGGCUCCCCAUGCUAGAUGAUGGAAAUAAAAAAUGAGCUGUACGUAACAAAUGCAUAGCCUACUUUAUGAUUCAAGAUAAUAUUUCUACAUACAUGGCUGAAAUGUAAGUUUAUGGAUGACAUAUAUGUUAUAGUUAGAUGAUUAAGACAAAGGUUCAUUGGAAUGCAUAAAGGCAAACAGAAUCCUAAAAUUCCAGCUAUAGUGCAUAGCAAUUGACCCUAACCAUGUUUUGGAGGACCAUUCACAAAAGAAAAAUUGUUGAGCACAUAUAAAAAAUUGGUUUCAAAGCAGAGAAAAAACCCUUCUCUCAAUAUCCCAAUUUUACUGUAAUUGGUUUUCAUUCCCCAUCAGAUCUCAAACAGUACAUAGUAGACCCUACUCAGUCCACCCUACAAACUUAACAUUCGAGAGAAAACUCUACCACCCAGAAACCCCUCCCUUGAUAACAGACACCAAAUCAAUGAAAAAAAAGAAAAAAAAGAAAAAAAAAAAAAAAAAAAAAAAAAAGAAAGAAAAAGAAGAAAGAAUGACAACCAAUUCAUUUACAUUCACAUAAGCAAGGAUAUCUGCAUGAGAAGUUAUAACAAGAUUAAAGUGCAGUAACUGUGCUUUCAUGUUUUGAGAAGAGAUGUUAAUAUAUAAAAAAAAAUAAAAAAAAUAAAAAUAAUUACAUUCACAUAAGCAAGGAUUUCUGCAUGAGAAUUUAUAACAAGAUUAUAAAUGCAAACUAACUUCUUCUUGCCAAUAUCUGGAAUGUCGCUCCUUUCAACCUUCUCCAUAAUUACCUGCAUAGCAAAAUGAUAAGUUCAGAAGAUUAAGUUGAAAGAAUGUACAGAAUAUUACUCAAAAGCAAGUUAAUCAUUUUCUCGAUACACAAAAAUCAAAUGAGAAGUUAAAAAAAGGUCAUACUGGAAUUCUAUCUGGAUAUUUCUCCCUGAUGCGAGCAGCUUCAGCUUGCCUCCUUUCUGAAAAGGUAAAAUUUUUAGAAUAAAAACGACAAAUGUAGUAUUUCUUCAUUAAUGCUUGUGUUUUUUGUUUUUAUGUCUUUCUACCAAACAGAUGGGCGAUCAAAAGGAUCCAGGUUGGGCUUAUACAAUUAGACACUAUGGUAAGGGUGAUAGGACAGUACAAUGCAGUUUGUGUGGGAAAGAAAUGUAAGGGGGAUUUCCAGAUUAAAGCAACACCUUGCUUACAAAAAGGGGCAAGUGGCUCCCUGUGGUUCUGUCUCAAUUACAAUGAUGAAACAAUUUCAUAAAUAUUUACGUGAGACAAAAAUUGCCAAAAUUGCCAAACAUAGACAAGGAGAGGUUGAAUUGGAAGCUAUUAGGAGAGGAAGUAAUCCAUCUGGAUUCGUCGAUCAAUCAGGGGACACUGCAUAUGAAAAUUUUGCUGUUGGAGGUAGCCAUGCUUACCUAGACACAAAUGAGGGAGAUUUUCAUUUGGACUAUGCUAUGCGGGCUAGCAUGGCCUCUUUAGAGUCUGAUGCAGUGAGACGGAGAUCCAUUGCUAUCGAUGGUGGGUCAUCUCGCCAAGCUGGAAAAGAGGAGGAGAUAUUGGGGGACCAUAUUAUGACAUGAGGUAAAGGUUCAUGUUCACUGGUGCUGAGCCAUUUAGUAUAGGACCCUUUCAGAGGUCUACAACUAUUAGAGAGAGAGAGAGCAACUUAUGAGCAGGUUGAGGAUCUAGUGAACUUGGCCAAAGGGAAGGCUAUUCCUCCAGGAGGCAGACCUGGUGACUACAGAGCAGCAUUUGCAAAACAGACCAUGAUAUCAGAUCAUGUUAAGGGGAAGUUAUUGGAUAAAACAACUAAAAUUUGUAGGGAGGUAACAAGGUGGUUAACUUUAAAUGGUUUGCCUUUUAAUUCUAUUAAGAAUAAACACCUUCAAAAUUUAUUAAAUGUAGCGGCAGAGGAGGGAAAAUAAAUGCUCCUAUCCCAUGGGAGAUUCACAUAAAUAUCUUCCAUUGGGGGUUUAGGAUUUGAAAGAGUACAUCAAUUCUCUUCGGCCUGAUUGGGUGAAGAAGGGUGUGAUUAUAAUGUGUGAUGGGUGGACUUCGAACACAAGGAAGUCUUUUAUCAACUUCAUAAUAUACUGCAAUGGGAACACUAUUUUUCACAAGUCCAUUGAUGCAUCAAAUGAUCGGAAGACGAGUGCAUUUAUAUUUGCACAAUUGAAGUCAGUUAUCCAAGACAUUGGAGAAGAGCAUAUUAUUUAGUUGGUAAUAGACAAUGAGACUUCAUACAAAGCAACAGGGAGGUUGUUGGAGAAUGAUCAUCAUCACCUUUUUGGGCACCAUAUGACACCUGUUGCUUAGAUUUUAUUUUACAUGAGCUUAACACCUUCAAUGAGAUCAGGGAGAUUCAAUUGAUUGGUGUGUUAUUAGUAGGCAGAUAUAUAAUUCUUUUGCUGCUACUAACCAAUUGAGGAUAUUUACUGGUAGCAAGGACUUAUAUAGAUCUGGGACUACAAGGUUUGCCACUGAGUAUAUAUCAUUACAGAGUUUAUUGGAUAACAGGGGUAGCGAUGCUAAAUGCCUUUCUAGAUGAAAAUUUUUUUCAUAGCCCUUGGUCAAAAUGAAAAUAAAAGAAAAGAUUGAGUUAUGUGGAUGCAAAGCACCAUCAAUGGUGGUUGGUUUUGGUAUGGGGCGGCUAGGGUUGUAGCAAUCAUGAAGCCCAUAAUGGCUGUACAAUAGGUUGUCAAUACCGAGCUACGAGUUACUCUACCUUUUAUCUAUGAUGCCAUGCUUCGGGCUGAAGAAUGCAUCUUGAACAAUGUCUAGGAGGGUGAGAAAUACUGGCGAAAGAUAUAAAACGGUGGGAUGAAAAAUGGCCCAUCUGAUUCAUGCUGCUAGUAUAAAUAUUUACUGUGCUUCAUUGAUGUUUGAUAUUACAUUUUCAAAAUUUUAAAUGUAUUAUUGACAAUUGCCCAUGCUUUCAAAUUUUUUUCUAAUAUAUGGCGGCAUCAUAUGAAACCAAGAUGAAUGUCAAAUGGAAAUGAUGACAGUAAUAAGAAGACUGGCCAGGAACCUUAAUGAGAAGAGCAUAUGCAUCAAUGAGAUACAAAUUUAUGAGAGAAAGGUAGGUGAAUUUGGUUCUUUGCUAAUUCAACGGGCCAUCCAUAUCACAGCACAAGAUUAUUGGUGGGAGAUAUAUGGUGUAUCAGCCCCACAUCUAAGAAAGGUGGCAAUGAAAGUAUGUAGCAAACUUGUAGCAUAUUAGGAUGUGAGAGAAACUGGAGUAAAUUCAGCCUUGUUCAUACUAAGCCAUAAAACUGGUUGAAGCUAAAGACUCUACAUGAACUUGUCUUCAUCCACGACAACGAGCAACUUCAUCUUCGUAAUUUGCGCUUAUAGGAUAUUGAGUAUACUCCAUCAGAUCUUACACACACUAUCAUUAUGAUGAUUCAAUACAUUCAUGGAUGCAUCAACAUGUGCAUAUGGAUACUGAGGCUAUUGAGCCUCUACUAGAUGGUGACAUAUUCUGAUUGGACAUGGAGCUUUAAGGUAAGUCGACCCAUUAUUAGCCCAUAAUGCAAGAUCAUGAUGAGAUUUAUUAACAAAUCCCAAAAAACUGCUACGAACGCGGUGAUGAUGCUCCUAAUCAGUAGGACUCAAACGUCUCACAUAGAGAAGAGGUUAAAGAACAGACAAAUCUUUAGUUGGGUCGACGUAGUAGACGUUGAGAUUUGCAAGGUCAUAGUAGUGGAGUGAGAGACCAUAAAGAGUGUGGGUUGGCGUAUAGUUCAUUCGGGUAGCAGUGGAGGAAUCGUGGCGCCUAGUGGUGUUACACAUAGAAAGCGUGAUAGUGGUCAUGGGAGUAAGCAACGCAAGCAUCGACAGUCGACUCAGACAUUGGAGAGUCAAACUACGCGAUUACAGACAUGCCAUUGCCAUGAUAAGGGACUAAUAGAUGAGGAUCAAGAGUUACCAUUGGAGGAGGAAGAGAUUGAUUCUGAUGAGGAUUGCUUCUUUAGAUCAAGCUGGUGGUGAUGUUAGUGAGGAUUUAGAUGACGGGACUAAUAACAACAUUUCAAAAGGACAUAUAUGGCCUGCAUGGUCUGCGAGACAGACAUAUGGUGUUAACACCCAACAUGUCUUAGGUGAUAUUCAUAAUUGGUAUUUUGAGUAGUAGAUGGGGACAUAUUCCAUAUUUUGAGACUCAGGAACCGUACCAUGGAUGUCUACCCAGCAAUACGGAUUUAUUGAGCCUACACUGUAGCCGAUGGAUGGUAUUCAAUAGUACCAAAGUGGAUGGGAUGAUGGCAGCAAGAAUCAAAGAUAUGAUGGACCACGACAUUCAGUCCACGAUUGAUAAUGUACUAAUUUGAGGUUAUUUUCUUUGUUAUUUCAAUACUUUAUCUAUUUUCUAUUGUUUCUUAAGAUUUAUUUUCACCUGAGACUUUUUGUGGUGUAUGUACAACAAGAAAAACAGAUCGUAGCAAAUCAUACAAGUGUGUGUUGGGCUCUCGACCUUGG